rnacentral:rRNA from 1 species
GACGAACGCUGGCGGCGUGGAUUAGGCAUGCAAGUCGAACGGUAUCAUCCUUUCGGGGGUGAGAGAGUGGCGAACUGGUGAGUAACACGUAGGUUAUCUACCCUCAAGACGGGGACAACCCAGGGAAACUUGGGCUAAUACCGGAUGUGAGCAACUUUUAGUUGUUUGAAAGGUGGCGUAAGCUGUCGCUUGGGGAUGAGCCUGCGUCCUAUUAGUUAGUUGGUGAGGUAACGGCUCACCUAGGCAAUGAUAGGUAGGCGGCCUUAACGGGUGGUCGCCCACACUGGGAUUGAGAUACGGCCCAGACUCCUACGGGAGGCAGCAGUCGAGAAUAGUCUACAAUGGUCGGAAGACUGAUAGUGCGACGCCGCGUGAACGAUGAAUCCCUUCGGGGUGUAAGUUCUUUUAUAUGUGAGCAGUGCUUCUUAUAUUAACAGUAUGGGGAGAGAGAUAUUAGCAUAUGAAUAAGCAACGGCUAACUCCGUGCCCAGCAGCCGCGGUAAACUCG